GACUCACAGCUGCAUGCACUAGGCUGGCAGAAGUGGGGCCCAUCCACCCACCUUUCAUGGAAGCAGCCCAGAAAAUGAGCGCGGAUGCCAACACCCUGCUCCCGACACCUUUGCUCUAAGCCCUUUCAAAAGGAGCAUUUCAAAUAGGAGCCAUCAACACUUGUAGAGGGUGGGUCUUAAUCCACAGAGGAUCAUUAGCUUCACCCAAGUGAUGGGACAUCCAUCAGCACCACCCAUUCUUCCACCAAUUAUCUAUCUGCUAAUUACGUGGGAUUAAGAGUUGACACGGAGCGCGACAUGGUCUUUAACCACAUAUUUGCACGGCUUAUGCGUGUUUGUGGGGCUCCUCGGUCUCACCCAGUCAAGUUGGACACACCCACAAUGCUGCACAGCACAUUUGCAUCUCGUUGGCUGUCGGCAACCAGUAAAGGACUGCAGGAUGUGUUUACUUCCAAAGGGACUCGGCUCUUGGCAAAAGCUUUCUUGUGGGUAUGCUGGGUGUCUUGGCUUUCUGGCAGUACCGACCUCUGCUUAACUCAGAGCAUGCAUUCAAUCAUUUGUCAAACGUUCAUUAGCUCAAGUACAGUAGCAGGCACAGCACUGUCUCCAGGAGGUUGUACAGAGGUGAAUGAGACACUGUUUCUACAGCUUCAGAGGUUUUUCUCCAGUCAAGGAAAUGCAUGCAAGCAGAGAGAGCUAAGAGGCAUGAGGGAGGGAAAAGCAGCACACCAUGAAAAUAUAACACAAGGAGAGAUCUGUUUGGUCUGAGAAAGCAGGGGAGGCUUCACAGAGGAGGUGGCAUUUUCAGCACAGAGCCAGAGAGAGAAAGGAAUUCCAGGUUGAAGGAACUGCAAAAGCAAGGGCUGCGUGAGGUGUGUGAGAUGUGUGAGGAGAAAGGGGAGCCACCUACGGGAGAUGGCACACAGGCCACGGGUGGGAAGGAGGUGGCCUGGUAGGCUGGGUUGCAUCAUGGAAAACAUUGAAUUUUCUGCUAGGUUUGGAAAUCUACUGGUUUAUUACAGAAAAUGUCACCUUCAAGUGGUGUUUAGAUUAAUACCUUUUCCUUCAGGAAGCUUUCAAGCGCCAUUCAACUUA